rnacentral:rRNA from 1 species
AUACGUAGGUGGCGAGCGUUGUCCGGAAUUACUGGGUGUAAAGGGCGUGUAGGCGGGAAUGUAAGUCAGAUGUGAAAUGCCGAGGCUUAACCUCGGAGCUGCAUCUGAAACUGCGUUUCUUGAGUGUCGGAGAGGAAAGCGGAAUUCCCAGUGUAGCGGUGAAAUGCGUAGAUAUUGGGAGGAACACCAGUGGCGAAGGCGGCUUUCUGGACGAUAACUGACGCUGAGGCGCGAAAGCGUGGGGAGC